AAGUUAGGGGCAAUUUGGUAAUCUAGUAAUUAAAAUGAAUUAAAAGGGAAAAAGAUGGCAAAAAUCAUCAUCUUCUUCAUUAGGACGAAAUCAGCAAGGGGGGAAGCCAUAGUUAGGGUUUUCAAGCUUCCAAGCUCCAUAAUCAAGAAGUACGAAACUCGAGGUUAGACAAAGGGAAGAAUAAAGUUGAAGACUAAGUUGGUGAAUUUGGCUAUAAUUGGUACCGAGCAUUGCAAAGCUACUUCAAGGAUCCUAAAGAAGUCGGAGAUCGUCCACACUAUCAACCACAACUGCUCGGUAUUUUAUGUCAAAACACGUUUGAGUUAUGGCAUGUAUAGUGAUUUAGUUAUUUUGUAUGUUUGUAAUGAUGAUUUUGCUAAUGAGUGAUGUGUAAGUAUUUGAUGAUGUAUGGUCAUUAAAAUGGUUAAGGAUGAAGGUGUUUGUUGUUAUGAAAGAUUAGGUGAUAAAUUAUGCAUGGAAAUCAUGAAAGGAUAAAAUUUUGCAAAGAAACAGAAUUCAGGCAGCACAGUGACGUGAAUUUGAAAAAUCACCUAGGAUGGUAUAAAAUGAAUUAGAGGGUGAAUGAUAUAUGGAAUUAAAUCUUGUUGAGUCUAUUUUCAUGGAAAAAUAACAGUGUAGGAAAAGGAAAUUUAUAUUUUAAGAUAUGUGAAUUUUAGUAAGAUAGGGUCAGAACUGUUUUUGGAGUCCCCUGUUCUGAGUUUAGAAAAUAAUUAAAAAUUGUACAAAAAUGGUUAUGAGUUGAAAUUUACAUGCUUAGAUUCCUUAAUGAGUCUAUUUUCUGUAGAAACAAGUGGGAAUAGCAUAUGAAAAUCCUAUAACGAGAAAAGUUAUUUUUAGUAACAAGAGGUCAGAAUAGUCGAAUGGUGAAACAGGGGAGAAUUUAACUAAUAAACUGUACUAAUUGGAUGAACCAAAAAUUCUAAAAAUUUUAUGGUAGGAAGAUAUAUG